GAUGAAGAACGUAGCGAAAUGCGAUAAGUAGUGUGAAUUGCAGAAUUCCGUGAAUCAUCGAAUCUUUGAACGCACAUUGCGCCUUCUGGUAUUCCGGAAGGCAUGCCUGUUCGAGAGUCAUUAACAACCGUUUCGAUCCCUUUCUUUCAGAAAUUACAAAGAGGAAAAGGGUUUGGUUAUGGUGGAGGAGGGAAAGGGAGCGUUUAGCCUGUAAAAAAAGAGGCUGUGUUCCGCCUCCCCCCCAAAAUUGUACAGGCGGUCGUGUGCGCCCACGCAUCGAGGUGUUGUAAAAGCUGCCACGGCACUUUUCACCUGUGCAGUGCGAGAUUGGCCAGCCGGUUUAAAAACCCCUCCAAACAAUCAAAGGUUGACCUCGGAUCAGGUAGGGAUACCCGCUGAACUUAAGCAUAUCAAUAAGCGAGGA
rnacentral:misc_RNA from 1 species